GCCAUAUUAUGUUGAAACACCGGUUCUAGUACGAACACUGAAGUUAAACAACGUCGAUCCUGGUCAAUACCUAGAUGGGUGACCACUUGAGAAUACCAGAUACUGUAAG